rnacentral:siRNA from 1 species
AGGAUCCCUUACCUUCCUUCUCGAG